GUGAGUAUAGCUCAGUGGUAGAGUGUGUGCUUAGCAUGCACGAGAUCCUGGGUUCAAUCCCCAGUACUGCUA
rnacentral:tRNA from 1 species